AAAGGGCUCGUAGGUGGUUGAUCGCGUCGGAAGUGUAAUCUUGGGGCUUAACCCUGAGCGUGCUUUCGAUACGGGUUGACUUGAGGAAGGUAGGGGAGAAUGGAAUUCCUGGUGGAGCGGUGGAAUGCGCAGAUAUCAGGAGGAACACCAGUGGCGAAGGCGGUUCUCUGGGCCUUUCCUGACGCUGAGGAGCGAAAGCGUGGGGAGCGAACAGGCUUAGAUACCCUGGUAGUCCACGCUGUAAACGGUGGGUACUAGGUGUGGGGUCCAUUCCACGGGUUCCGCGCCGUAGCUAACGCUUUAAGUACCCCGCCUGGGGAGUACGGCCGCAAGGCUAAAACUCAAAGGAAUUGACGGGGCCCCGCACAAGCGGCGGAGCAUGCGGAUUAAUUCGAUGCAACGCGUAGAACCUUACCUGGGUUUGACAUGGAUCGGGAGUGCUCAGAGAUGGGUGUGCCUCUUUUGGGGUCGGUUCACAGGUGGUGCAUGGCUGUCGUCAGCUCGUGUCGUGAGAUGUUGGGUUAAGUCCCGCAACGAGCGCAACCCUUGUUCACUGUUGCCAGCACGUUAUGGUGGGGACUCAGUGGAGACCGCCGGGGUCAACCUCGGAGGAAGGUGGGGAUGACGUCAAGUCAUCAUGCCCCUUAUGUCCAGGGCUUCACGCAUGCUACAAUGGCUGGUACAGAGAGUGGCGAGCCUGUGAGGGUGAGCGAAUCUCGGAAAGCCGGUCUCAGUUCGGAUUGGGGUCUGCAACUCGACCUCAUGAAGUCGGAGUCGCUAGUAAUCGCAGAUCAGCAACGC
rnacentral:rRNA from 1 species